UACGUAGGGGGCUAGCGUUGUCCGGAAUCAUUGGGCGUAAAGAGCGUGUAGGCGGCCCGGUAAGUCCGCUGUGAAAGUCGGGGGCUCAACCCUCGGAUGCCGGUGGAUACUGUCGGGCUCGAGUACGGAAGAGGCGAGUGGAAUUCCCGGUGUAGCGGUGAAAUGCGCAGAUAUCGGGAGGAACACCAAUGGCGAAGGCAGCUCGCUGGGACGUUACUGACGCUGAGACGCGAAAGCGUGGGGAGCAAACAGG
rnacentral:rRNA from 1 species